AGAGAGAGACAUGCGUGCAUAUCAAUAAGCGGAGGAAAAGGAAACUAACAAGGAUUCCCCUAGUAACGGCGAGUGAAGCGGGAAGAGCUCAAAUUUGAAAUCUUAAAGGGUUUCCCUUUACGAAUUGUAGUUUAAAGAAGUGUUUUCUGUUGAGGUUUUGGUAAAAGUUCUUUGGAAUAGGACAUCAUAGAGGGUGAGAAUCCCGUAUUUGACCUUUACUUUCAACUUUGUGAUACACUUUCAAAGAGUCGGAUUGUUUGGGAAUGCAGUCCAAAAUGGGUGGUAAAUUUCAUCUAAAGCUAAAUAUUGGCGAGAGACCGAUAGCGAACAAGUACCGUGAGGGAAAGAUGAAAAGAACUUUGAAAAGAGAGUUAAACAGUACGUGAAAUUGUCAAAAGGGAAGCGUUUGACACCAGUGUUGUUUUUCUGAAAAUCAAUUAAAGAACUGUUUAUGCUAAGUUGUUUAGACUUUAUCAGCUAACUGUUUAGUUUUGAGCUUUUCUUUAAUGCACUUUUCAGUUAACAAGUCAACAUCAAUUUCUUUUGCUGUAAAAAAGCUUGAGGAAGGUGGCUUGAGAUUCGUCUUAAGUGUUUAUAGCCUCUUGCCUAUGCAGUUGGAGAGAUUGAGGUCUGCAGCGUAGAUCCUUCGGGGCUAAAUGCAUUUGUGCUAAGUUAUAGCAUUUUAUAGACAACUUGUUGACUAUGAUUUGUCUUGUAGCUUACUCGCUUAUGUUAUUUUACCUACGCUUAGGAUGUUGAGCGCAUGUCUCUCUCU
rnacentral:rRNA from 1 species